rnacentral:rRNA from 1 species
GACUAAGUGCAUGUGGUGGAUGCCUUGGCGAUUACAGGCGAUGAAGGACGUGAUAGCCUGCGAUAAGCUUCGGGGAGCUGGCAAAUUAGCUUUGAUCCGGAGAUUUCCGAAUGGGGAAACCCACCCCUAGGGGUAUCGUGCGGUGAAUACAUAGCUGCACGAGGCGAACCGGGUGAACUGAAACAUCUCAGUAGCUCGAGGAAAAGACAUCAACCGAGAUUCCGAAAGUAGUGGCGAGCGAAAUCGGACUAGCCUGUGCGUUUUAGCACUCGAAUUAUCAGAACAGUUUGGAAAGGCUGACCAUAGCGGGUGAUAGUCCCGUAUGAAAAAAUUCGAGUGUGGAACUAAGCGUACGACAAGUAGGGCGGGACACGAGAAAUCCUGUCUGAAUAUGGGGGGACCAUCCUCCAAGGCUAAAUACUCGUAAUCGACCGAUAGCGAACUAGUACCGUGAGGGAAAGGCGAAAAGAACCCCGGGAGGGGAGUGAAAUAGAUCCUGAAACCGCGUGCUUACAAAAAGUAGGAGCCUCGUAAGGGGUGACUGCGUACCUUUUGUAUAAUGGGUCAGCGACUUAAUCUGACGAGCAAGCUUAAGCCGGUAGGUGUAGGCGCAGCGAAAGCGAGUCUGAACAGGGCGUUCAGUUCGUCGGAUUAGACCCGAAACCGGGUGAUCUAGCCAUGAGCAGGCUGAAGGUGCGGUAACACGCACUGAAGGGCCGAACCCACGUCUGUUGAAAAAGACGGGGAUGACUUGUGGCUAGGGGUGAAAGGCCAAUCAAACUCGGAAAUAGCUGGUUCUCCGCGAAAGCUAUUUAGGUAGCGCCUCGUGAACUCAUCUUCGGGGGUAGAGCACUGUUUCGGCUAGGGGGCCAUCCCGGCUUACCA